rnacentral:lncRNA from 1 species
UAACUCUGUUCCCGGUGUCUCCUCUUUCCAGGAACCAGUAAAAAAAGCAGCACUUAGUUGGGACAUGUUAUUUUUGUGGCAGAGAGAAAAAGGGAGAAUUGGCUGAAAAAUGUGAUUCUUCAAAGCAUUCGCCUGUCACCUCUGCUUACAUUUCAUUGGCUCAGACGAGUCAUAUGGCCAAGCCUGAUAAUGUGGCAGAGAUGUAUACUCCACCUAUUGAGAGGCACUAAAAGUCACCUGGAAAUGGGCUGGGAUGUGUAGUCACCUUAUAGGGAAGAGAGCCAAUGUGGGAAACAAUACAUAAUCCAUCAUUUCAGGCUGACAUGCUAGACAUGUAACUUCAUGAGAAAGGUGUGGCUCUGGACAGAACCCUCUGAUCCAUAAAUCUGUCUUCCCUAUCCUUGAGUGCUGUUAUAUAAAGGAGACAGAGAAGAAGGUCUCUUUGGUUUUCAUGUUUGUAAGGGCCUAUAGCAGCAUUCCUUUGAUGACAUGAAGUCUGGCUCUGUUCUAACUCUCUUGAGGUUCACUCAUUCUUGCCUUAAACCGUAUCUCCUUUGCUGUGAGGUGCUUCCAUUUGUUUGACUUCAUCUUUUGAUUUCAUUUGGUGUUCAUAAAAGUCCACUUUGCUCUUCUUUUGGCGGAGUCUGAAAUUGUGUUCUUGUAGCUGCAGCAUCACUGUGGCUUGGAGCUGGGCCAGAAGGUGCAGGAUUCAGCAUAAGCAGAGAUCUCGGCAAUUUGACUCCCAGACAAGUUCAAGAAGUAGAAGAUGACAGAAGAGUGAGACUUUCCUCAGAGCUCAGAAAAGGUCAAACAGAAGCCACUGGCAAAAAGAAGAACCGAAGGACUCCAGUCCUUUGAAAGCCAGCUGAACGGUCAUCGGUAAGUGCGACACCUCACUCCCGUUGGCCCAGGACUUUCCCUGGUUUAGCACUGAAAGUCCCAAAUGCCAAGAACCCUCUUAGUCUCUGGAAAACUGGAAUGGCUGGUCUCUCAGGGACACUCAAGAUUAAUUAAAAAAAAAAAAUAAGUUUCGACAUAACUAUUGCAGGAUUGUGAGCACAGUAUUGCACUUUAUUUUGCUACUUUCAGUGAAAACCCCCAAAGAUAGUUAAAAUUUAACAAUAUAAAAAAGUAUCAAAUGUUAUUUCAAUUGUAUCAAAUGAACAGAUGAGGUAUUUGGUGAAAAGAAAAAUAGAAAUUGCCAUACCCUUCUUCCCUUUCUCAAUAUUGUGAGAAUAGCUUUUUGGAGAGAAAGAGAAGGAAAAAAAGCAGAAAAAUAGACUUUACCUUCAUUAUUAACUGGACUCCAUUGAGCUCCAAAAUGGAG